AAGUCUGUGUCUCGCUGUCUCACUCAGGCUGCUCUCCAGUGUCUAUUCACGGGCGCGAUCCCACUACUGAGCGGCACGGGGGCUUUGACCUGCUCCGUGUCCGGCCUGGGUCGGUGCACCCCUCCUUAGACGACCUGGUGAUCCCGGGCUCCCCCAGGGGAACCAUAUCGAUACCGAACUUAGUGCGGACACCCGCUCGACAUAGUCCACUGGAGCUCAGAACUCCUGAGCUCAAACGAUCCGCCAGACUCAGCCUCCCAGUAACUUGGAUUACAGGCGCGCGCCACCGCACCCGGCGAGAGCGUCAUGCUUUCACCGAGGUCUUAACCUGACUGUCGUGACGUCAUCAUCACCUGAACAAGAUGUGUGAUUCAAAUACCUCAGAAAUCUCUACAACAGCACAGUAAAUAUAAAUACAUCCAGAAAACACAGGAAAUGUGUCUGUAGUAUUGAAAACAACAGACACAUUCCAGGUGGAAACUGUUUUUACACACUAGAGUCGUUUAUUCAAAUAAUUCCAUUCAAAAUAACAAAGAUCACACACUUUAACAAAACCAGUAGAUGUGUAAAUGUGUUCUUUAAUGUGUUUCUUUUUAAUAUUUUAACGAUGUGGUGUUUUGAUUUGAAAAUGUAGCCCCAAUGAAAAGAUAGACGUGAGAGUGUGCAGAGAUGAAUGUCAGAGCUGCUACAGUCCAACAGAGAGAGUGCAUUGUUCUCUGACCCACAUUUCCUGAUGUGGAACUUGCAAAGACAAAAAGGUCACAGUGAAUGGCUUCACACACUGGUCAUGAUCAUGACAUCACCCAACUGUUUUUACUGUUACUGUUAUAACUGUGAUUAUGUUGAUUUCAUAACAAUUUGCUCUGCUCAAGGAAAGCAAAGGCAGCACCUGUGAGCAGCUGACCGUCUGUACCUGGUCUCAGUUUGUGUGAAAAACAAAUGUGUUCAAGCUGAAAUGACACCUAUCAUGAUAAAACAGAUAAUGAUACAAAAACGAGAAACAAGGCCUUGUUGGUCCCAACUCUUCACACUUUAUUAGAUGCAUGCUGUGCCUAAUAAAGUGGCCGGUCCUGCCCAUCACCUUUUGCUGGCCUUUGUUCCGGUCUGCCUCCUGAUACACUCUCGUCUGAACCCCCGUUUUUCAGGUUUCCUCCCAGUCCAAAAACAUGCAGAUUUG